AAUCACCCAAACUGGGCAAGUGGGCAGCCGCGUACUCCUCCUCCUUCCUCCUCCCUCUUUCCUCUCAAACCUUUCUUCUUCCUUUCACUGAGCUUCUUCUCCUUCCUCAAAACCCUAAUUUACAUUUCUUAAUUUGUUCGAGUUUCGGCUGGUAGGAUUGAUACUCUCGCACGCAUACAAGGACUGAAUGUCUGCAAUUGUGCGCAUCGCCGGCGUUCUUUGAACUCUCAGUUCUUUCAAUUUCAAUUUUUUAAGAUUUGGGGAAGAAAUCGAGUUCCAGAAUCACUCUCUUUGGUCAAUAAUUAGAAGGCAAAGAUGUUGCUGAAGCCUGACAGGACUGUUGUAACUGAACCACAUCAUAUAUGGCCGUCCCUAAAUGACGAUCAAUGCAUGAAGGUUGAGGCCGCUUUAAGAGAUCUUAUACUUUCUGAUUAUGCCAAGAAGAACAACGUGAACACCUCGGCUUUAACCCAGUCAGAAAUUCGUGAUAUCAUUAUGGGUGCAGAGAUCACUCAUCCGUCUCAACAGAGACAGAAGAUCGCUGAGAUUGAGAAGCAGGUGACUGUCAAUUCCGGUAGAGUUGUCUUCUUUGCUUUGUUCAAAACUGUAAAUGAUGGUUGCAAAUUAAGAGAAAGAGUGUUGCAGUGAUCAAGUUUUCAUCUUAUAAAAUGGCCACACAAUCAGAACGCUUUGGCUAUGAAUUAUCAUAGUGGCUAGGAGUUUGAAUAGCUUAGGCAAGAGUCAUUCAUAAAGGAAAGGCCGGAGAAGUAGCUGCUUCAGAGUGGCGUCGCAUAAAGGAGGUUGCUGAAAAGCCCGGAGAAGUAGCUGCUUCAGAGAGAGAUGAAGUUGGCUAAGAGACAUGCUCUGAGCUUCUUGAAACUCUUGAACUAAGCCGAUGCCUUUUGUUGAAGUAUGCCCUCUGUGUGGGUGUGUGUUUAGACAUAGUUUGUAGUGCUGGAAGCAAAACUUUUAUGCACUAAAUUUUCGAUUUGUUUUCCUUCAAAAGUCUGCUUAUGGCAAUUUUACAAGUUUAAAUAACAAGGGUGGAGAGAGAGUUUUCCUGGGCUACUGUAUCUGUUCUAGACUCGGAUGAUUUUGGACUAUAAUAAGACAUAAUCGUCCUAUCAUGCAGGAUAUAGUAUGUAGAGACUAUAACAGGAUUAUGGAAUUAUGUUAGCACCUGCACCUCCUUUAUUAUCUGUAAUGAAAUUUUGAUUUUUCGUUGUGA